rnacentral:tRNA from 1 species
GGCACCUUAGCCAAGCGGUUAGGCAACUGAUUGCAAAUCAGUUUUUAGAUCGGUUCGACUCCGAUAGGUGCCU